CGUAAACAACCUGCCUUCAGGAUGGGGACAACAGACGGAAACGACUGCUAAUACCGAAUAAGUUCCAAGAGCCGCAUGGCCCAUGGAAGAAAAGGUGGCCUCUACUUGUAAGCUAUCGCCUGAAGAGGAGUUUGCGUCUGAUUAGCUGGUUGGAGGGGUAACGGCCCACCAAGGCGACGAUCAGUAGCCGGUCUGAGAGGAUGAACGGCCACACUGGAACUGAGACACGGUCCAGACUCCUACGGGAGGCAGCAUG
rnacentral:rRNA from 1 species